rnacentral:rRNA from 1 species
UACGUAGGUGGCAAGCGUUGUCCGGAUUUACUGGGCGUAAAGGGCUCGUAGGCGGCCAACUAAGUCAGACGUGAAAUCCCUCGGCUUAACCGGGGAACUGCGUCUGAUACUGGAUGGCUCGAGUGUGGGAGAGGGAUGCGGAAUUCCAGGUGUAGCGGUGAAAUGCGUAGAUAUCUGGAGGAACAUCGGUGGCGAAGGCGGCAUCCUGGACCAUGACUGACGCUGAGUGAGCGAAAGCCAGGGGAGCAAACGGG